rnacentral:rRNA from 1 species
UGGGGAAUUUUGGACAAUGGGCGCAAGCCUGAUCCAGCCAUGCCGCGUGCAGGAUGAAGGCCUUCGGGUUGUAAACUGCUAUUGUACGGAACGAAAAGACUCCUUCUAAUAAAGGGGGUCCAUGACGGUACCGUAAGAAUAAGCACCGGCUAACUACGUGCCAGCAGCCGCGGUAAUACAGAGGGUGCAAGCGUUAAUCGGAAUUACUGGGCGUAAAGCGCGCGUAGGUGGUUUGUUAAGUUGAAUGUGAAAUCCCCGGGCUCAACCUGGGAACUGCAUCCAAAACUGGCAAGCUAGAGUACGGCAGAGGGAGGUGGAAUUCCGCGUGUAGCAGUGAAAUGCGUAGAGAUGCGGAGGAACACCGAUGGCGAAGGCAGCCUCCUGGGCCAGUACUGACGCUCAUGCACGAAAGCGUGGGGAGCAAACA